rnacentral:sRNA from 1 species
ACUCAACGUUAAUUCUUUAAAAAGGGUGAGUUUAAGUUGUAAAACCGUGCUGCUAGUACUUUGUACUUGGGCAGAUUUUUGAGCAGCUUGUUAGCCCUAAACUUGUUUUUAAGGAGUUU